CCUACGGGAGGCAGCAGUGAGGAAUAUUGGACAAUGGGCGCAAGCCUGAUCCAGCCAUGCCGCGUGCAGGAUGACGGUCCUAUGGAUUGUAAACUGCUUUUAUACGAGAAGAAACACUGCUUCGUGAAGCAGCUUGACGGUAUCGUAAGAAUAAGGAUCGGCUAACUCCGUGCCAGCAGCCGCGGUAAUACGGAGGAUCCAAGCGUUAUCCGGAAUCAUUGGGUUUAAAGGGUCCGUAGGCGGUUUAAUAAGUCAGUGGUGAAAGCCCAUCGCUCAACGGUGGAACGGCCAUUGAUACUGUUAGACUUGAAUUAUUAGGAAGUAACUAGAAUAUGUAGUGUAGCGGUGAAAUGCUUAGAGAUUACAUGGAAUACCAAUUGCGAAGGCAGGUUACUACUAAUGGAUUGACGCUGAUGGACGAAAGCGUGGGUAGCGAACAGGAUUAGAUACCCUGGUAGUCCACGCCGUAAACGAUGGAUACUAGNUGUGGUGNAACUACAGUGNGAGAGAGAGAGA
rnacentral:rRNA from 1 species